rnacentral:rRNA from 1 species
GUGGCAGGGAUAAACGCUGAAAGCAUCUAAGCGUGAAGCCCCCCUCAAGAUGAGAUUUCCCAUUUCUUCGGAAAGUAAGAUCCCUGAAAGAUGAUCAGGUAGAUAGGUUUGGAGUGGAAGUGUAGCGAUACAUGGAGCGGACAAAUACUAAUCGAUCGAGGACUUAACCAAAA